rnacentral:lncRNA from 1 species
UUUUUUCCUUUUUUAUCCCUAAUUUUUGCCUGAACCUUUUCAUUCAUUUUUUUUUUGGUUCGCCGGGAUGCCCAUUUUUGCCUGGACUGUUUUUAUUCUUUUCGUCCAGCGGGUAUCUUUACACGAAGUAUUUUUUAAUUGCGUCCGCAUUCACAGGGGAUGGAAAAUCUUCGCCAUCCAUGGUCGUUAACAACAAGGCUAUGUCAGAGAAAACCUUUUUGACCAUGAAUGGGAUCCAUAACAGUAUCCACUUGCCCCUACGAUCGUU